rnacentral:lncRNA from 1 species
UAUCCUUAGAAGAAUUUUUUGGUUCUCUCAUAACUCAUAAGUUCACCAUGAAGCAUAAUAGUGACAAGGAAGCUAAGAAAAGAAAACCUAUAGCCCUCAAAUCCACUGUUCAAAUGAGGAAGAUAGUGAAGAAUCGAAAGAGGGAGAAGAAGAUGAUGAUAUGACUCUCAUUAUCCAAUGAUUCAAAAGGUUUAUGAGGAAAGAAAAACAAAAUUUUAAAAGAAAGCCUUUUUUAAAGGGUGAGCCAAGCAAGAAGAAGGAGAAGCAAAAGGAGC